CAGUAGAACGCUGUAGAGAGGAGCUUGCUCUUCUUGGAUGAGUUGCCAACGGGUGAGUAACGCGUAGGUAACCUGCCUUGUAGCGGGGGAUAACUAUUGGAAACGAUAGCUAAUACCGCAUAACAAUGGAUGACACAUGUCAUUUAUUUGAAAGGGGCAAUUGCUCCACUACAAGAUGGACCUGCGUUGUAUUAGCUAGUAGGUGAGGUAACGGCUCACCUAGGCGACGAUACAUAGCCGACCUGAGAGGGUGAUCGGCCACACUGGGACUGAGACACGGCCCAGACUCCUACGGGAGGCAGCAGUAGGGAAUCUUCGGCAAUGGGGGCAACCCUGACCGAGCAACGCCGCGUGAGUGAAGAAGGUUUUCGGAUCGUAGAGCUCUGUUGUAAGUCAAGAACGAGUGUGAGAGUGGAAAGUUCACACUGUGACGGUAGCUUACCAGAAAGGGACGGCUAACUACGUGCCAGCAGCCGCGGUAAUACGUAGGUCCCGAGCGUUGUCCGGAUUUAUUGGGCGUAAAGCGAGCGCAGGCGGUUUGAUAAGUCUGAAGUUAAAGGCUGUGGCUCAACCAUAGUUCGCUUUGGAAACUGUCAAACUUGAGUGCAGAAGGGGAGAGUGGAAUUCCAUGUGUAGCGGAGAAAUGCGUAGAUAUAUGGAGGAACACCGGUGGCGAAAGCGGCUCUCUGGUCUGUAACUGACGCUGAGGCUCGAAAGCGUGGGG
rnacentral:rRNA from 1 species